rnacentral:lncRNA from 1 species
UGGAAAGUAUUGUUUUAAACACAUUUAUCUCUUGCCUUUAUUUAUGUAUUUUAUUUUCAUUUUUGUACUUUUUCAUUUAUUUCUGUUUCCAUGCAACUUAUUUUCUUUUCAUCAGACAUUUAUCAGAUUAAGAGAAGUCAUUACCCAGUUAUAGUUCCUACCCAAGUGGCAUAGGACACAAAAUUUUGAGAGAGAUCUAUACUUGAGUAUUUUACUAGAAUUGGUUGCUCUCUAGACUUGGACCUGCAGUCUUAUGCUGCAAGCCUAAGACUAUUACUAUUGCACCAAGCAAUGGCCCAUAUAACAUUUAUGUAAAACCCUUUAGUUCAGUUUUUCAAUAUUUAUUUUACACAUUUGUUGCUAUCUAGUUUGUUGAAUCCCACAUCGGUCCCCAUAAAUGUGCCACGCACCAGUAAAAAUUCUGGGCGUGAGGGGGUGUGUUGAAUCCCACUUCGGUUGUGGAAAGGGGUAAUGUGCCCCUUAUAUGGGCUAUAGGCACUCCUCCCCCUUGAGCUAGCUUUUGGUCUGGUGGUAAGUGCCUUAGGCCUUACGGCUCAAUGGUAUCAGAGCCAGGUCGCGGGUUCGAUCCGUGGGGGUGAAGGGAUUUAAUAUACUUCAAAUGUCUCCAGGCGAAUGGCCGUCACUUGGUCUCUCCCUGCCUUGGGAAUGAAUGGAGUGUCCUAAGAUGAUAAAAGUAGCGCCUCGACUAACAGCUUAAGCUUUUGGUCUGGUGGUAAGCGCCUUAGGCCUUACGGCUCAAUGAUAUCAGAGCCUCCCAUCCGAUGUUGGGCGCCCCAUAAAUGUGCCACGCACCAGUAAAAAUUCUGGGCGUGAGGGGGUGUGUUGAAUCCCACAUCGGUUGUGGAAAUGGGUAAUGUGCCCCUUAUAUGGGCCAUAGGCACUCCUCCCCCUUGAGCUAGCUUUUGGGGUGAGUUAGGCUUGGCCCAAAUUUAACAUAGUUUAUUGAUUCAUUUUUGCCUUGCAGGAGUUCAGCCUGAAGAUUUCUUUGAAGACUUGCAGUUUUGGGGAUCAGCUCUAAGAAACUAUUGGUCUUUGCUUACACCCUUAAUUUUCUCUGAUCAUCCUAAGAGGCCAGGUGAUG